rnacentral:tRNA from 2 species
UCCCCAGUAGCUCAGUUGGUAGAGCAGCUGACUGUUAAUCAGCUUGUCCCUGGUUCGAGCCCGGGCUGGGGAGCCA